CCACUGUAUUGUACCGUCAUCCAUGACUUAUGUGAUUCAUCAGCAAGGUCCAAAAUAGGCACCCACUACUAAUUUCCAGCAAAAAUUUUUAAUUGUAACUCUUUAUUCAUGCCAUAGCCUGACAGUUGAGGGCUGAGGUCCUGGUCAAAAUACAGAUUCAAUAAGGAUUCCAGCAUUGAAAGUGUCAGGUUAUAGUAUUCAAUCCUCAGAAGCUAUAAGAAACAACUGGUACAAAAUUCAGAUGGUAUGAAUAGGCGGUAAGAAUCGUGUGGUCAUCAGCAAUCAAGAGAAUUCGUGACUUAGAAGAUAAAACAGACAUCCAGAAAAGACAAAUAAAAGACUUAGAAGAAAAGUUUCUGUUUCUAUUCUUGUUCUUCUCUCUUGCCUUUAUUCUAUGGCCUUGAUGUCAAGGUGCCUCUUAAAGAGUAACCGAAAACAUGGAUAAGAUCCCAGGAAGACAAGUGCUUCUAAACCUUCAAAGAUGGCAAAAUUGUUUACACCAGUGAGAGGGAGAUCAAAAGCUAAGAACUACCCUGUAGCCAGGACUACAACUGUGUAUUUUAAAGCCAUUAUUCAAGGUUUCUUACUUGACAGUUCCUACACAACCCUGUUGAAAAUCUACAAUAUAUGCUGCAUUUAAUGAAACAUGUAUAUGUCAAAUCAGAAGAGAAGAACUAUAAACAUAUAUUGUGUAAAGAAAAAGUUCAGCAAUGGAACUAGUUUCUGCAGAUCAAGCAAAGAUGUGUCUUGGGCAUGGAACCAAAGUUACAAUGAAAUAUUCAACCCCUGCUGUGCAGGGGGGUCAUUUUAAUGUAACACCACACCCCAUGGAAACACUAGUCCUGAUAAUAAACAUCAUUUUAAAAGAUCAAAACAAACAAACAAAAAAAACAAGGGUGGGUGGGGAGUGAAGCACGAGGAAUACCUAUGAAGAGCUAUUUACAAUAAAAUGUUUCAUUUGAAAAG
rnacentral:lncRNA from 1 species